GUCGANCGGCAGCGCGGGGAGCUUGCUCCCUGGCGGCGAGUGGCGGACGGGUGAGUAACGCGUAGGAAUCUGCCCAGUAGUGGGGGACAACCCGAGGAAACUCGGGCUAAUACCGCAUACGCCCUACGGGGGAAAGCGGGGGACCUUCGGGCCUCGCGCUAUUGGAUGAGCCUGCGUCCGAUUANCUUGUUGGUGGGGUAAUGGCCUACCAAGGCGACAAUCGGUAGCUGGUCUGAGAGGACGAUCAGCCACACUGGGACUGAGACACGGCCCANACUCCUACGGGAGGCAGCAGUGGGGAAUAUUGGACAAUGGGCGAAAGCCUGAUCCAGCAAUGCCGCGUGUAUGAAGAAGGCCCUAGGGUUGUAAAGCACUUUCAGUAGGGAAGAAAAGCAGAGGGCCAAUACCCCUCUGUCAUGACGCUACCUACAGAAGAAGCACCGGCUAACUCCGUGCCAGCAGCCGCGGUAAUACGGAGGGUGCGAGCGUUAAUCGGAAUCACUGGGCGUAAAGGGCGCGUAGGCGGUCCGAUAAGUCGGGUGUGAAAGCCCCGGGCUCAACCCGGGAACUGCAUUCGAUACUGUCGGGCUUGAGUGUGGUAGAGGAAAGCGGAAUUCCCGGUGUAGCGGUGAAAUGCGUAGAUAUCGGGAAGAACACCAGUGGCGAAGGCGGCUUUCUGGACCAACACUGACGCUGAGGCGCGAAAGCGUGGGGAGCAAACAGGAUUAGAUACCCUGGUAGUCCACGCCCUAAACGAUGAGAACUAGCCGUUGGGGGUAANUGAAACCUUUAGUGNNNAAGCUAACGCGAUAAGUUCUCCGNCUGGGGAGUANGGNCGC
rnacentral:rRNA from 1 species